AUAACAAUGUCGGGGCCCAUAAAGCCUCGGCAAUUGGAAUGAGUACAAUUUAAAUCCCUUAACAAGGAACAACUAGAGGACAAGUCCGGUGCCAGCACCCGCGGUAAUUCCGGCUCUAGUAGCGUAUAUUAAAGUUGUUGCAGUUAAAAAGCUCGUAGCCAGAAUUCGGGACGCGCGUCGACGGUUGGCCGAAAGGCUGAACGGAGUGCGUGUUCUUAUCCGUCUGUGAUGCUUCCUGCGCUUAACUGAGCGGGUUUGUCGUCCAGGCGCGUUUACCUUGAGCAAAUUGGAGUGUUUAAGGCAGGUUAAAAAGCUCGUACACGUUAGCAUGGGAUAAUGAAAUAUGGUUUCCCCGCGCCUUUGUCGGCCGAUGCGGGGAGGCAAUGAUCAAUAGGGGCUGUCGGGGCGCUUCAUAUGCAGCGGCGAGAGGUGAAAUUCUUGGACCCCCUGCAGAUGCACAGAUGCGAAGGCGUUGCGCUAGUAUGCCUCCAUUGGUCAAGAACGAAAGUUAAGGGAGCGAAGACGAUCAGAUACCGUCGUAGUCUUAACAGUAAACGAUGUCGACCAGGGAUCGGGGAAGGCCCCAUGGAGGCCGCCUCGGAACCUUGAGGGAAACCAGAGUUCUUGGAUUCUGGGGGGAAUAUGGUCGCAAGGCUGAAACUUAAAGGAAUUGACGGAACGGUACGCCAGGAGUGGAGCCUGCGGCUUAAUUUGACCCAACACGGGAAAACUCACUCGGUCCGGACAUAGUAAGGAUUGACAGAUUGAAGUUCUUUCUUGAUUCUAUGGGUGGUGGUGCAUGGUCGUUCUUAGUUCGUGGAGUGAUCUGUCUGGUUAAUUCCGCUAACGGACGAGACCUCUCUUUAUUAACUAGCCUGGUCGGUUGUCGAAGCGGGUGAAGCGUUUGAGCACGUUGGGACUUCGGUUCUGGCUGCCUGGGCGUGGAACUCGGACAUACCGAGCCAGCGCUUCUUAGGAGUACAAUCUGCGGUUUAGCAGAAGGGAGCUAGAGGCAAUAACAGGUCUGUGAUGCCCUUAGAUGUUCGAGGCUGCACGCGCGCUACAAUGGUGCGUUUAACAAGUACCUUGGCCGAAAGGUCCGGGAAAUCAAAAGUAUGCAUCUUGCUGGGGAUAGAUGAUUGCAAUUAUUCGUCUUCAGCGAGGAAUUCCUAGUAAGCGCGCUUCAUCAGAGCGUGCUGACUGCGUCCCUACCGUUUGUACACACCGCCCGUCGCUCCUACCGAUUGAAUGAUCCGGUGAAAUCUACGGAUGGGCUCGCACGCUGGGGCAACCCAGUAGCGGGACCAGAAGUUGGGUAAACCAUAUUGUUUAGAGGAAGGAGAAGUCGUAACAAGGUUUCCGUGGGUGAACCUGCGGAAG
rnacentral:rRNA from 1 species